AACUUGCAUAGGCAAAGAUGAGAUCUAGUUUUGAAGCAUGAUGGUGCCAUUACGUCAAAAAACGCAAUCAUUGAAUUGGUGUUACUGGACUUUGGUUGCUUUGAUAAGUACAUCUUGUAAUAUAGAAUGGUGUCUUGGUUACUUCACAGAUUGUGGAGGAGCGCUGACAGCUCAGGCUGGCUCUAUUCUCUCGCCAAACUAUCCUGACAACUACCCAAACGACGCAUACUGUACGUGGACUAUAACCGU
rnacentral:sRNA from 1 species